rnacentral:lncRNA from 1 species
UCAGACAACAAGUAGCAAAAGAAACACUGACCACUCACAGGCUGGGAAAGUUUACACAGGUCUCUGUGUUCAACCAUCUGCCUCCGCAAUGAUCUCUACAACAAUCGGUGCAGCUUGUGGUGGUCAGUUGCCUGUUUUUCCUCGCUGUGAACGCUUUUAAUUAAAAGGAAGGGAUUCAGAACCUGCGGAUGUGGAGGGCCAGAGGGCUGAAUUUGCAAGUUGGGCAAUGGGGAAAGCCUUCACAAAGGAGAAAGCCUUUGGGCUGGAAUUGGAGGAGUAGGAGUCAAUAGAGAGAGAAGAGAGUAAAGGGCAAGGCCAUCAUUCCAGGUUUAGGGAGCAAGUACAAAGACACAGAGAAAUGAAAAGGCUUGGCCUGUUUGGAGAAUGUCAAGCUGUCUGGGGUUGAGAGAAAGACAUUCUAACAAGGCUUCCAUUAAAGAGGCUAGAUUUGCUGCUUGGACAUUUUCUAGCUCUUCUGAGACAACUUUUUGUUGAGUUAAGCGAAAAUGAAUGAAAAUCAGAUGGACCAUAUUUCUCUUGAAUGCACACGGGCUUAAAAACGAAGGGGAAAAAGAACUUGACAGAAUGUGUCUUGGCUUUUGCCAAACCCAAAGUAUUUGAAAAAUCACACAGUACACAUCUCGAACCCAAAAACAUGCCUGGAUUCUACCACCCCUAACUGCAGCUGCAGCCAUUUAAUAAAAUGAAUUGUGU